AUUUCAACUCUAAUCCUCUAGUACGUCGACUGGAGCCCUAUGCUGCUUUCUGCAUCCAAAGGCCCAUCUUGCCAAGGGCAGUAUCAUUUCCAAGGAAGUUGGAAUGGACAAGAUCCGUGAGCAAGGGGAAGAGAUUGGCGGUACCUGUAACUCAGAACAGCACAUGGAAACUUAUCCUCCAUAAAAUCUUAGAACUUUCUAGAAAGGACUUUAGAAACCACCUGGUCCAGUUACUUCAUGUUACAGGAUUGUGUUGGAAUAUGGAUUUGUGCAUUCAGCCCCUGUAUACCCACUGUAUACCCUGGAUAGAAAAACGUCUAUGAAUAACUAUUGGAAGGUUUGUUGGGAAGCACUGGAGGCGAUGCUGGAAGCCCUUUGGCUGUGAAGAACAGCAGGGUGGCCCAGAGCCCUGCUGGUGGGAGAAGGUCUGUCCUGACAUUCUG
rnacentral:lncRNA from 1 species